rnacentral:rRNA from 1 species
UACGUAGGGAGCAAGCGUUGUCCGGAAUCAUUGGACGUAAAGCGCGCGUAGGUGGCCCCGUAAGUCCGCUGUGAAAGUCAAAGGCUCAACCUUUGAAAGCCGGUGGAUACUGUGGGGCUAGAGUACGGAAGAGGCGAGUGGAAUUCCUGGUGUAGCGGUGGAAUGCGCAGAUAUCAGGAGGAACACCAAUAGCGAAGGCAGCUCGCUGGGACGUUACUGACACUGAGGCGCGAAAGCGUGGGGAGCGAACAGG